CGCCCACUAGCUAGCCCCCCUAAAAACUACUGUAAAAACAAAAUUACCUCAUAUAACCCCUAAUAUAUCUACACCCACUUAUUUAAACCAUUUUCCCCCCUUAGUAUGGGCGACAGAAAAGGAACCACGGAGCAAUAGCGUAAAGUACCGCAAGGGAACGCUGAAAAAGAUUUGAAACAGCCCAAAUAAGCCUAAAAAAGCAGAGAUCUAAGCUCGUACCUUUUGCAUCAUGAUUUAGCCAGUAACCUUCGAGCAAAAAGCCUUUUAGUUCGAAUCCCCGAAACUGAGUGAGCUACUCCAAGACAGCCUACCUAUAGGGCAAACCCGUCUCUGUGGCAAAAGAGUGGGAAGAGCUUAGAGUAGAGGUGAAAGACCUAUCGAACUCAGCUAUAGCUGGUUGCCUGAGAAGUGGAUAAAAGUUCAGCCUCCCAGCUUCUCCCCUCACGUUAAGCCCUACCCCCACAGACCCCUGAGAAACUAGGAGAGUUAGUCAAAGGAGGUACAGCCCCUUUGACAUAAGACACAACUUUACCAGGCGGGUAAAGAUCAUAUUUAAAACCAAGGCAAAACAUUCUAGUUGGCCCAAAAGCAGCCACCCUUAUAGAAAGCGUUAAAGCUCAGACACUUGCCCCCCCCCCAAAUACUGAUAACACAAUCUAAACCCCCUGCCCCCCUACCAGGCUGCCCAAUGUACCCAUUGGGGUAACCCUGCUAAUAUGAGUAAUAAGAGAGGCCCCGCCUCUCUCCCUACACACGUGUAAAUCGGAUGGACCCACCACCGAACACUUUAACGGCCCCUAAUAAAGAGGGAAAUGAAAAACCAAAAAAAUAACUAGAAAAACCCCCAGUACCCGAACCGUUAACCCCACACUGGUGUGUUUCCCGGGAAAGACUAAAAGAAAGAGAAGGAACUCGGCAAAUACACUUAAGCCCCGCCUGUUUACCAAAAACAUCGCCUCUUGCAACCCCAAAGAAUAAGAGGUCCUGCCUGCCCAGUGACCCCGUGGUUCAACGGCCGCGGUAUAUUGACCGUGCGAAGGUAGCGUAAUCACUUGUCUUUUAAAUGAAGACCCGUAUGAAUGGCUUAACGAGGGCUUAACUGUCUCCUCUCUCCAGUCAAUGAAACUGAUCUCCCCGUGCAGAAGCGGGGAUAACUACAUAAGACGAGAAGACCCUAUGGAGCUUUAGGCACCAAGACAGACCCUGCUAAUUAUCCUCUGAUAACUGGACCCAAGUGAACACUGCCUUAUGCCUUUGGUUGGGGCGACCAUGGGGUAACAAAUAACCCCCACGCGGAAAAAGAGCUCGCAUCCCACGCUUUCACCACCCACCUCUCAAAACUAAGAGCUACUGCUCUAAGUAACAGAACCUCUGACCGAAAAUGACCCAGCAAUGCUGAUCAACGGACCGAGUUACCCUAGGGAUAACAGCGCAAUCCCCUCCUAGAGUCCAUAUCGACAAGGGGGUUUACGACCUCGAUGUUGGAUCAGGACAUCCUAAUGGUGCAGCCGCUAUUAAGGGUUCGUUUGUUCAACGAUUAAAGUCCUACGUGAUCUGAGUUCAGACCGGAGUAAUCCAGGUCAGUUUCUAUCUAUGAAAUAAUCUUUUCUAGUACGAAAGGACCGAAAAGAAGAGGCCAAUGCUUAAAGUACGCCUCACCCCCACCUAAUGAAGUCAUCUAAACUAGGUAAAGGGGUAUAACC
rnacentral:rRNA from 1 species